rnacentral:lncRNA from 1 species
CUAGAACAGUUGGCUCGGAAGUUUCUGGAGACAGUCUCUCAUAAAUAUCUAUCUAUGAACUCUAUCACAGCCGUUCAUAAUAUCCUCAAUAUUCUCGUCCAAAAGCCACCCCACAUAUAUUCAUUUUUUACCCACAAAACAAUUUUUUUUUUUUAAAGUUAUUGUCAAAAUAAUUUAUUCAUUCGUCUGUAUGUAUAAAUCCCAGCAUAUAAAUUUAUAUGAAACCUGCUUCUGGAGGCUUCUUUAGCCUUAGCGCGUUGAAGGGAGAGUGCUAUUAAUCUCUCUCUACAAGUUGCGUGUCCUACUCUACAAAAGGGAUGUAGAUCUUCGGCCGUUGUUGAAUAUUAAAGUUAUUGUCAAAAUAAUUUAUUCAUUCGUCUGUAUGUAUAAAUCCCAGCAUAUAAAUUUAUAUGAAACCUGCUUCUGGAGGCUUCUUUAGCCUUAGCGCGUUGAAGGGAGAGUGCUAUUAAUCUCUCUCUACAAGUUGCGUGUCCUACUCUACAAAAGGGAUGUAGAUCUUCGGCCGUUGUUGAAUAUUUUAUGUUUAUGCAUUAUAUAUAAUAAGG